rnacentral:rRNA from 1 species
UGAGGAAUAUUGGGCAAUGCCCGCAAGGGUGACCCAGCAACGCCGCGUGGAGGAUGAAUGUCGUAAGAUUGUAAACUCCUGUUAGAAGGGAAGAAUAGUACCGGUUGGACCGGUAUAUGACUGUACCCUCAGAGAAAGCCCCGGCUAACUACGUGCCAGCAGCCGCGGUAAUACGUAGGGGGCAAGCGUUGUCCGGAUUUACUGGGUGUAAAGGGCGCGCAGGCGGGAUAAAAAGUCAGUGGUGAAAUCCUACAGCUUAACUGUAGAACUGCCUUUGAUACUUUUAUUCUUGAGUUCGGGAGAGAGAGACGGAAUUCCAGGUGUAGUGGUGAAAUACGUAGAUAUCUGGAAGAACACCAGUUGCGAAGGCGGUCUCUUGGUCCGACACUGACGCUGAGGCGCGAAAGCGUGGGGAGCAAACA